UACGUAGGGCGCAAGCGUUGUCCGGAAUUAUUGGGCGUAAAGAGCUCGUAGGCGGCUUGUCACGUCGGGUGUGAAAGCCCGGGGCUUAACCCCGGGUCUGCAUUCGAUACGGGCAGGCUAGAGUGUGGUAGGGGAGAUCGGAAUUCCUGGUGUAGCGGUGAAAUGCGCAGAUAUCAGGAGGAACACCGGUGGCGAACGCGGAUCUCUGGGCCAUUACUGACGCUGAGGAGCGAAAGCGUGGGGAGCGAACAGG
rnacentral:rRNA from 1 species